CAGCCGCCGCGGUAAUACAGAGGGUGCGAGCGUUAAUCGGAUUUACUGGGCGUAAAGCGUGCGUAGGCGGCUUCUUAAGUCGGAUGUGAAAUCCCCGGGCUCAACCUGGGAACUGCAUCCAAAACUGGCGAGCUAGAGUAUGGUAGAGGGUGGUGGAAUUUCCUGUGUAGCGGUGAAAUGCGUAGAUAUAGGAAGGAACACCAGUGGCGAAGGCGACCACCUGGACUGAUACUGACACUGAGGUGCGAAAGCGUGGGGAGCAAACAGGAUUAGAUACCCCGGUAGUCCCUGUCUCUUAUAC
rnacentral:rRNA from 1 species